rnacentral:lncRNA from 1 species
CAACUAAUUAAAUGACCUUGGAUAGGUGAAUUGCUUCUCUGGACUGUAGUUUCCCUGUUAUAGGACAAGGAUGAACUUAAUGAUUUCUAAGGGUCUCACAGCUCUGACCUUUAUUUCUUGUUCUAAGGGCCCUCCUAGCUCUGACAUUCCCUUUUCCAAGGCAUCUCCCAGCUCUGACAUUCCCUGUUCUAAGGCACCUCCCAGCUCUGCUAUUAUGUGAUUCUAUAAAUCUCCCAAUCUCAGUGCCUAUAGCAGGGAACAACAAAGGGCCAGUCACCUCAAAAGCCAAUCAGUAACACUAUGUUAGCUGUGCAACCUGACUUAACCUGUAGUGAACCAGAGGAGAGAAGAAAGGAGGACUACAGUCAAAAGGUAAAGUCUUAUAACAAUUGUGUGUUUGGCAAAGCUCCCUUUAAGAAUCUUUGAUCCAUCCCAAUUAGGAGCUAACUGCUUUUCAAGCAAAGAAGCCAAAAAGUGACUGUCAUACCAAAACCAAUAGCAGUGGAAACAGCUGCAUCUUCAUGGUAUAGGGAGAGCCCACAGCUCUCUGGUUUCUCUAUUCUCAUGCUACCACCAUCAUUAGCUCCCUUCAGAUAGAUAAAUAGAGAGACAGAUGAUAGAUGGGUGGAUGGAUGGAUAGAAAGAAAGAGAAAGAAAGAGAGAGAGAGAGGAAAGAAAGAAAGAAAGAAAGAAAGAAAGAAAGAGAGAGAGAGGAAAGAAAGAAAGAAAGAAAGAAAGAAAGAAAGAAAGAGAGAGAGAGAGAGAGAGAGAGAGAGAGAGAGAGAGAGAGACCCAUCUCUAGCUACGCCUUUCUCUAAGCCUCUGGAGCCUAAGGGCGCAAUCAUUCCAGGAUUUGGAAAGGGGGUAAAAACUGAAAAGGAUAAGAAGGAAGGCUUAAUCGCCCUCUCUCCCUCCCUUCCUCCUCCUUGGAGCAGAGGAGGGUUACUAUCGUGCUGGGGAUACUGGAGGGAAAGGAUCUAGGCAGGAAAGCUCUUAUUCCCCCCUCCCCUCCUGUCCCCCUCCCCCUCCCCCCCCCCUCCCCAGCCUGGUUUCCCAGCAGCAUCCCGGGCAAGAGGCAAAGGAGCUGUUCUCCAGCACCGCGGAGUAAUCGGCGCAGGGGAGCUGUCCAGUUCAGCACCACCACGUUAAUGCAGUAGGUGGGAGAGCCACGAAGAAGAGGAGCCAAAGAGCCAGAGUAGGGGGGUGGGGAGGGGGAGCCCCGAGAAAGAAAAAAAGCCGGGCAGCAAAUUCUGCAGCAGCAAAACAGUCGUACCCUUAUUUCCAGGAGCUUCGUGGAUCUAGGGAGGGAAAUCCGUCUUGAUUCUCCAGGAGAACACCCCUUCCUUUUCCCUCCCCCACUUUAAACAAGAUUUACCGGCCGCUACAUAGAAAAAUCGCUCUCGGGGCUGCUCCCGCUGCCGCGACUGCUGCUGCUUCCGUCCGCUGCCGCUGCUGCCGCCGCCGUCGCCGCCGCCGCCGCUGCCCGAGGGACAGCCAUGGAAGGCGAGAGCUCCGCACCUGUUCAGCUGAAAUCAAGGGCUUAUCGUAUACUAGGCAAUCUGGUUUGAGAAAACGAGAGCCAAGCGACCCCCAAGAAAGAUAACUGGAUUUUCAUGGCGCAGGCUGCAGAGCUUAGCACGAAGACGGAAGGUUGCAUCCCAGCUCUAACCAUCCCUAACUGUCUAGGUCCUGGUCAUGAGAGAUUGUGUUAAGAAUGAACCUGUGGAAGCCAUCUCCAAAUUAGCUAUCACAUAUGGAAACUGGAGACCAGAAUUUUAGGAAAAGGGAUUAAGGCAUCUCCUUUUGGGGGGGUGGGGG